CAAAUACACAACAAGUUCAAUUUCUUAUGCCACGACCAUCAGUGCUCUAUAUUAUGAAUACUUUGCACCGAGUGACUUGACUAUAUCUGCCGUGUGUGGAUUCUUCCAUCCUUCUCCCUUCCUCUCACCCAGAAAAUGGUCUAGUCCUAACAUGACAUCAACAUCCAUGAUUCCUGCUUUUUUAAGGCCCACUCAUUGACCCAAGUCCUGGCUAAUGUCAGCAGUGGAAGAGAGACCAUCUAGGAGGUUUCUGAAGUAAAGCUUGUUGAUACAUCCUUCUUCCAGUCUCAUCAAACUCUUUGUUCCCAUGCAAGUGUCAGCCUUGUUUUUAGCACGGAAGAGGGUUAGAGAGUUUGGAUAACCAUUUGAAUGCUUCCCUGCAGUGAAACCUUUGAAGAUCCACCCCAACACCAUCAUGUGAUAAAAGACCUGUCUGAACAAUCCAUUACACUCACUACCCUGGUGCAUUUACAUUGAGCUUAACGAGUUUAUGCCAACCCAGUGUCAUCUGGUGUAGAAGAGUCUUCUUAGUUGUAAACAGUUUCUGCUCUAUCACUGAGCUUCCUUCCAGAAUGAAAUAAAAUGAGAUAGAAAAACAUGUUUAUA